CUGGACGAGGCAUACGAUAGGCUCUAUGAGAGUUAUGAGGAGAAGCUUGAGGAGUACGUGAAGUCGGUUGAAGCCCACGAUGCGUACCAGGCCAGCCAUAAUGCGGCGGUGAUGGCGUAUAUUACUACUGGAGUUCAGCCAACUAUGGGAUCUCCGCCACCACCAAAACCACCGCUACCAAGGAUCCCAACGAGAGAAGAAUUCCUCGCCUCGGUCACCUCAGGAAUUCCGGGAUCAGCUCAGUCAAGC